rnacentral:rRNA from 1 species
GACGAACGCUGGCGGCGUGCUUAACACAUGCAAGUCGAGCGAGAAAGCUCCUUCGGGAGUGAGUACAGCGGCGAACGGGUGAGUAACACGUGGGCAACCUGCCCCAGGGAGCGGGACAACCCGAGGAAACUCGGGCUAAUACCGCAUGAAUCGCCGUGCCACAAGGCGCGGCGGGAAAAGGUAGCUUCGGCCUCCGCCCUGGGAUGGGCCCGCGGCGCAUUAGCUUGUUGGUGGGGUAACGGCUCACCAAGGCGACGAUGCGUAGCUGGUCUGAGAG